AAGCCUUCACUUCACUAUUGCAAUCUGGAGAUUUGUGUCCUUAGCCUAAGCUUGAAGGAGGAAAAAUAAGAAUGAACACUUGACCAUCUGACUCCAGAAGGAUUAUGGGCACUGAUUAAAAACAAAUCUCUGCUCUUUUUCUGCAAGUCUCACUGCUCAGCCAUGAAAGCAUUACCACAAAAGUAUUUCUGUGAAACAGCAUCUUCCCACAAGCGCAACCUCAUUUCAAUAUCAAGGGUAAAGAUCUUUAACAUUACCUCAACAAACAGAGGGAAAGAAGAUAACCUCCAUUAAAUGUUUCUAAUGUUCCCUGUACCUGCUGUUGGAAGAUUUAGAAAGGAGCAGAGCAAAGGACAAGCAACAAACAGUGUGAGAAGCAAAGCCAGCAAAAUUUGGCCUUUUACGAUAUCGCCAUGCCCUGUCCUGAGAUGUACCUAUCAACUGACACUAAUUGGUACCUCGGGAAAGAACGCAUCUAAAUGUUGACCAUGGCCAACCAUCAAAAGAGGCAUUUUUGCACAUAUUCUCUAACUAAGAUAGAGUUGGUUAGUUCAAUGUUUAAUACAUGAAUAAGCAAUAGAUUUUUAUGGUUACCAUUGCAUAUUUCGUGAUAGUUCUAGAAAUGUUUGGGUUUAGAUUAAUAUUAAGUAAAAUAAACAUAGUUUUAUACAUUUUGAAUCUCUACAAAUAUAAUUUCACACAACCAAAUUCUUCAGAACUCUUGGAGUAUUUUGGAAUAAGAUGCAAAGGAAUAAUCCGUUUGUUUGAAAAAGCCAGACUAUUAGUUCCUUUCCUCUAUGGCUGUUACAGUUAUCAAUAGGAGAAAGAGCUCCCAUCUCUCAUUGGUAGAUGAGUGCUAAAGCUUUCCAGCCAAAAAUCAAAUUCUGAAGCUCAUAUGGGAAACUAAUGGGCAGAAAAUAAUCAUUACAAUCCAUCGGGAUAAUUAUAUUAAGACCAAAAAUACUGCUUACAAAGGCAGUUGUUUUCUUUACUCCUUUCUAUCUCUGAAUUCAUGUGUUUUCAGUUGUGCAUUUUGGGACCUGUUCAAUUACAUGAUACAGGGAAGCACAGGUGGGGAUUUCAGUCCUUUAAAGGAAUCUAUAUUCAUUUAACAUGCAGAAUUAAUAUAUUACUAUGUAGAAUAUCACAGUUCUCUUGUCUAUCAUCAUGUGAUGCAACUGAAUUGCUUUUGCCCUUAAAAAAGCAAUAGGUUAUGUUGCACAGUGUGCUGAUAAAAUAAUGUUUACUAAUUUGUAAUGUAACAAAAUUGAUUUAUGAAAGAAUCCUAUGGCUUACAAUCAGCCACAUUACAGCUUCUAGUAUUUUUCUUUUUCUUUUUUUUUUCCCUGAUGCUGAAAUUUAGUGGACAACAUGUGCUCUGAGCAUAGAAAUUUCAGAAGAAUCUGCACUACUGUUUUACAGUCAUCCAAGUAUGUAUUUUUACCUCUAACAAGUUUUUCUCAAAGAAACUGCUCUUUACUAAGUGUGACACUUAGUACUGUGACUGA